GUUGCUGUGUAGCUGCUGGUGCCUGCAGGCAGUCCUCGGUUGCCCGGGAAACACAGAUGGUGGAUGAAGGGCGCGCAUACAAAGGACCGUAAAACCUGUAGCGGCAGCUGGAGACCGAGCCCGCUGAUUAAUUCAGCUGUGUGCUGCUCCAGCUUAGUCAAAGGCGCCUCUGUUCUCUUUUAAUACCUACUUCAUUUUCUCUUUGUCCUGCGCAGCUUUCGGCUCCACUUGAGCCUGUUUUCCCUGCACCGGUCUCCCGUCAGUGCGCAGCUGUUGUCGGCACUCCCACAUCUGCUUGUCUCGGCUCGGCAGCCAUGUAGACCAAGCUCCGCUGCGGAGCGUGCACGUCCAGGGGGGGCGACGACCAGCACUUUUACUGCGGGCUAAUCACUGCUCACACACGGCGUGGAACCUGUUUACAGCUUCGGCAGCUUGUCCCGAGAAUGGAAGAAGGUAAAAGAAGGAAAAAGAGGAAGAAGAAGUGAUCUUUUCGCGCCGUUUGAUGCUCGGCAGGUGCAUGUGGAACCUGGAAAUAUCUGGUAACCUCGGGUCGGCGUUUCCGGAUUCAUCUACGGCGCUGCGGACAUGUCGCCGGUCGGGACGCUGGGAGGAUCCAGAUGGGAAGCAGCAGCAGGACAGGUUAUGUGUACAGGCUGUUUAUUAUCUUUAUUCAAAAAAUGGAGCAUAGUUUUUAACGGCACACAAUAUCAGAUGGAGAAUUGAACAGCUUUACUGAGUCAGUUAGUUCACGUAAACUGACCCAACUAGACCCCCCAUUUGAUAGGAUUUCGUCCCCCGGCCUCCCCCAUCUGAUAGAAUUUGUGCUUUGAAAUGUAUUAUUACAGAAAGAUGUAUGAAACCCAUGACCCACAGAAUAGAGCUGUAACGAUAAGUCGACAAAUUGAUUAGUCGAGCAAUAGAAAAACAAACGACCAACUAUUUAGAUAAUCGAUUAAUCGUUAGUCAUUUUUCAUGCAAACAUGGCACAUAUGGACAUUCCCUGCUGUUUUCUGUUUGAUAUCACAUUAAACUGAAUAUCUUUGGGUUUUGGACUGACAAAACAAGACAUUUAAAGAGACAUCAGCCUGGACUUUGAGAAACUGGGAUAGACACUUUCCACUAUUUUCUUACAUUUUAUAGUUAUAUUAAUUGAGAAAAUAAGCCGCCAGCUUAAUCGACAAUGAAAAUAAUUGUUAAUUGCAGCGCUACAACACAGUCAACAUUGUGUUACUUAUGGAUGGAUUUACAGUUAGAAUAAAUAAUGCCCCUCUUGCUGUGGACCCCCUGGAACCCCCUCAAGGAACCACCGAGUUAGACGUCUGAUCCCGGGACUUAUAUCUGUUAGCAGUGGCUGUAUAUCAUUGUUUGAAAUGGGUCUUAAAAUAAAGCAGCACUAAGGAGAAACAAGAAAACCCAAGAAGCAGUUAUCCCUGGGGGACCUUGGGAGGGACGGUUGGGUUGCGUCCCACUUUUUUUUCCUGCUUCUUUGUGUUGUGUGUUCCUCUCCAGCUCCACUGAUGAGGAAGCAGACCGGGGGGCACGCGCCGGCUGGACCUCCGGAGCGCCAUCACGACUCCAUCGCGCCCUGCUGCGUCGCCUCACACACUGUCCUUGCUCCUGCAGCGAUGGAUGCCCGGCGCCAUCACUGCUGUCCUGCGCCUUCGGAAGGAGACGAUCCGCGUCCAAGUGUUUCCCCGCCGAGAGACGACUUCUGCUGCUGCCGUGCGUCCGUGAAAAUGGCCUAGAAGAGUUCAGAACGCCACCGCUGCUUUGUAGUCAGUGUCGGCGAGGUCCGAUUUAGCAGGAAGGUAUUUCACGUGUGGUGUUUCGAGUCCAAUAUAAUGUGCUGCAGCGUUCCUUCCUGUUUCUCUCGACUGUGCGUGUUUUCCCGGCCGGCUGUGAGUAACAGACUACUAAUAUAGCUGCAUCCACCCCCACUCUCACGUUUUGUCUCUUGGCUGAUGAAAAACACAGACACUGCAGCUAUCAAACACCUCUCAUGCUUGUUUUCUUCAGCUGCCGUGUGCAGUGACCUGUCGAACACUUUGGCCACUUCUCCCUGCAUAAGACAGCCUUUUACCUGGGUUUGUAGAGGACUUGGGUGCACAUAUUUUGCGGAGGGUUUAGGGGGUCCUCCCUCAAGAAAAUGUUACAAAAACAAUAUGCAGUUUCACAUGAUUUUAGACCAUUAUUGUAACCAUACCUGGGUCUAAAACGUUGGAAAAGCUAGAGCAGAUAAUAAAAUAACAACACUCAAAAAGCCUAAAGACAGAACUUGCUAAAUAUAAAAGUAAUUGAGUUAGUUUUGAUGCUCACAUUGAUUUUACAUUCAUUCGGCUUAGGUGGUGCACAAAACGGCUCGGUGGCUGCGUCCAAGCCUUAUUCUGGUCUGGAAAACCCUGCUAUUUGACAUUUAAAUUCACUAAAAAGUUGUGUUUUAACGUGUGUUAGCGUCUCACUGAAGCCAGCGUGUAUCUUGGCCAGAUCCAGAACUGGAACGCUCUGAUAUCCAAAGCCUGUGAGAUCUGCUUACGUGUGUGAGAACAAGUAGUGACAAUGUGUGAUUCACACAGUAUGUUCUUAGUCGUGAAACUUCUUCAUUUGGGUGUGUGAUACCAACUACCUUUAAUAAGCACUCUGUGUAUUUUUACUGUAGCGUGUGGGUGUCUGGGUGUGUGUGUGUGUGUGUGUGUAUGUGUGUGUCCGCGUGAGUGCACGUGUUUGUGUGCAUGUGCUCUAUUUGUGUGUGUGUGUGUGUGUGUGUGUAUGUCUGAUUAAACACAUUUGUAAAAGGCCUGAAGCUUCUAGCUGCUUUCCAAUGGUUUUCUCAUCGCUGCAUUAGUUUUCAAAUGCCUGAAUAUCUUUCUUUUGGCACACUGGAUGUACCGGGGAUAAAAAAA